GGAAGGAAGUGGUGACUGGUGACAGAGUGAGGGAGGGAGUGGGUGACACAGUGACAGAGUGAGGGAGGUGGUGACUAGGGACAGAGUGAGGGAGGUGGUGACUAUCACUAGUCACAACCUCCCUCACUCUGUCCCUAGUCACCACCUCCCUCUGCCACUAGUCACCCCCUUCCUCACUCUGUCACUAGUCACCCCUUCCCUCCCUAACUCUGUCACUAGUCACCACUUCCCUCCCUCACUAGAGUGAGGGGG